AUGAAUAAGUCAGCUGAGGCGCUAUCCCCCUUUGAAGAGCUGACCAGGGAUGUGAGCAGGGAGACUUCAACAGCAGCUCUAACCCUAACCCUUGCCAUAACAGUUCUCAGACGUGUUCUGUCUCGUGAGGACGAUGACCAAGGAAUCAAGUCAAUGAAAAGAACUCUCUUGGAGGAAGUGGAGAAGCUCUUUGCUGAUGUUGAAACUGAGCCACUCUUCAAGAUCCCAGAUACAAAGAUAGCUUCUUCACAAAGUCAAAUCUGUUGCUUGCAAAGCAACACGUCAUCCAGGAAGGGGCAAAGACAGAGAGGAGGAGGUCCACCAGUGCAGUGCUAGAGGAUACAGGGGCUGCAGCAGAGCCAGUGAGCAAGGCACCACGGCCUGAAGCAUGCAGCAGCUUGGACAGCACCUUUGAGGAAAUCUUACAAGAGAGGCAGUCAGAAGCCCAGUUUUUGGGUACCACAUCAGCAGAAGCUCAGGUGCAGACGUACCUCUCAGAAUAAACGACCCCUAAAAAAAGCA
rnacentral:lncRNA from 1 species